GCCGGGCAUGGUGGCUCAUGCCUGUAAUCCCAGCACUUUGGGAGGCUGAGGCAGGCGGAUCACCUGAGGUCAGGAGUUCGAGACCAGCCUGGCCAACAUGGUGAAACCCCGUCUCCA
rnacentral:SRP_RNA from 1 species